GCUAUAAAAUUCUGAGACUAAAUAUCAAAUUAAAGAAAGUACUAAUUGUCAGCGAUGGGGGAUGUACUGCUAUUUGCUUCUAGUGGUACUCACUGCUCAUUUCCUAUAUUCACUGGUAUAAAAAAAUUUCAAACACCCUCAAAAAAGCCUAUACUGGUGGUACCAGGAAAACGCUGAAAAUCAUUACUUUCUGUGUGGUGUCCAGCUCUUUUGGUUACAUCAUCACUUCGACCAUUCACUUUUAAAGAAAAACUUUUGUGGAACAAAAAUAUAAAGAUUUAUUUUUUUUCUUGGUGGCUUAGCACAGUGGCCUAAUGUGGCUGACCAUGUGCACCUGUUGUGUGAGUCACUUAGACGUGCUUUGUUUCUUGGUCACAGUUGAUCCCUCAACUCAAGCAUCUCACCCUCAAAAUGUUUGUUUGGGACCCAAGAGGCAAACCUUGAGAUGGGUUAUUUCUUUCACCUUGGAUUGGCUCAUCUGCUGGGAGUGGAGCCAAGCUGACAUUUCCUUUCCUUUUUGUCUGCCUAUCACUACGUAGAGGCAGCACAUAAGAGAGGGAAAGCCAUGCGCGUGGAGUCCAGCACAUCACCCAGAAGGCAGAUGUUCUAUCUCCAUUUUACUCAUUAAAACAAACAAAACCACACCUGGAUUGCCUGCAACUUUUAAAAGCCUUUCCACUGCACAGUGAAAGAAAACCACAAACUCCUUGUUUAAUAAGUGGGAUCACGUGCUUUUAACACGAGGAAAAGGUCAAUCUGAAGCAACUGAUAUGGAACUGCCAGAGUAGGAGUUGAAAAUCUUCCUAAACUGCUGGAGGAUACACCUCUGAUAGCUUGAGACAAAUAUCCUCUUGAUCAUUGUUUCACCAUAUUUGUCUUUGCUCAUGGAGAACCAUUUUGAUCCGUGGUUUAGCCUCCCAGGUGAUUGAACAAUACCGGUGAUCUGAGGCAGACCCUCUGUGACGGAUAACAGAAAAGAAAAUUGAGGAUCAGAAAAUACGCACAAUUUGCAAAAACCAUGGGAAAGAAUAUUGAUUGAACAUCUACUCAAGAACUGCAAAACAGAGAUUACCUGACCUAAAGCAUUUAUAUUGCCAAUCAUGUUGGAGAGUCCAUGUGGUGAUUUCUGAAAACGAGAUGUGAGAAAGAAGAGGAUAAUUUAAGUCUAGACCUACAGAUUGUGCUGAUAAAGUGAUGAAGAACUACAAUCUUCUUAGUCAUUUCAUUGUAUAAGUGCAAUAAAGGAUUUUGUGUCUUUCCUGGCAAACAACUUGUGACCACAGUGAUGGCUCCAGCAGAAUGGAAAAGACCCUUUACCUCACAUCUCAGAAGUAAAGAUGCUGAUUAUUUGACAUCGCCAUUGGAAUCUCAAAACAGUGUAAAGCAUUUGCUAAAAAGAGUCACUUUCUGAGAAAUGACUCAGAAUUCGACUUACGUACUAGCAGAACUUAUUGCCCAUAAAAGGAAAGGCCACACUUUUUGUGAAAACUUAAUAAUCCCUAGGAUGUAAAAUUAUACUGAGUUAAAUCCUAGUCCCAUUUUUAGUACAAGAAACUGGAAAAAAAUAAUCCACUCUCAAAUGGUAAGACAAAUUGAGAUAUUGCUGAAAAGCCUCUUGACCCUGAAAAGUUCUGAAUAAUAAACUGAUAAAAGCAGCAGCAGCAUCUAACUUGACACCAGUCAUGUCAUUUG
rnacentral:lncRNA from 1 species